rnacentral:rRNA from 1 species
UACGUAGGUGGCAAGCGUUGUCCGGAAUUAUUGGGCGUAAAGCGCGCGCAGGCGGUCGUGCAAGUCGCGUGUGAAAGCCCCCGGCUCAACUGGGGAGGGUCACGCGAUACUGCUCGACUUGAAGGCAGGAGAGGGAAGUGGAAUUCCCGGUGUAGUGGUGAAAUGCGUAGAUAUCGGGAGGAACACCAGUGGCGAAGGCGACUUCCUGGCCUGUUCUUGACGCUGAGGCGCGAAAGCUAGGGUAGCAAACGGGG